rnacentral:tRNA from 1 species
GCCUGGGUGGCUCAGUGGUUGAGCAUCUGCCUUUCGCUCAGGGCGUGGUCCCAGGGUCCUGGGAUCAAAUCCCACACUGGGCU